rnacentral:rRNA from 1 species
CGGUACAGAGGGCAGCCACCCCGCGAGGGGGCGCGAAUCCCGAAAGCCGGUCUCAGUUCGGAUCGGAGUCUGGAACCCGACUCCGUGAAGCUGGAUUCGCUAGUAAUCGCGCAUCAGCCAUGGCGCGGUGAAUACGUUCCCGGGCCUU